GCCCCCGUGGCGCAAUCGGUAGCGCGCACGACUCUUAGAGUUUGCUUGAACCGAUUAUGGGCCAUCAUUUAUCGUGCGGUUGCGGGUUCGAGCCCCGCCGGAGGCU
rnacentral:tRNA from 2 species